UACGUAGGGUGCAAGCGUUGUCCGGAAUUAUUGGGCGUAAAGAGCUCGUAGGCGGUCUGUCGCGUCGGCUGUGAAAACCCGGAGCUCAACUCCGGGCCUGCAGUCGAUACGGGCAGACUGGAGUGUUGCAGGGGAGACUGGAAUUCCUGGGUGAUAGCGGUGGAAUGCGUAGAGAUCCCCAAGAACACCAGUUGCGAAGGCGGCCGACUGGACACAUAUUGACGCUGAGGCUCGGAAAGCAUGGGGAGCAAACAGG
rnacentral:rRNA from 1 species